CCAACGGCCCUCUUUAGGGCCACAACUCAACUGAAAACGAAUCUCA
rfam:Nippostrongylus brasiliensis genome assembly, scaffold: NBR_contig0000680